UAGGGAAUCUUCCACAAUGGGCGCAAGCCUGAUGGAGCAAUGCCGCGUGAGUGAAGAAGGUCUUCGGAUCGUAAAACUCUGUUGUUAGAGAAGAACACGAGUGAGAGUAACUGUUCAUUCGAUGACGGUAUCUAACCAGCAAGUCACGGCUAACUACGUGCCCG
rnacentral:rRNA from 1 species